ACGUCGUGAGACAGUUCGGUCCCUAUCUGCCGUGGACGUUUGAGAUUUGAGAGGGGCUGCUCCUAGUACGAGAGGACCGGAGUGGACGAACCUCUGGUGUUCCGGUUGUCACGCCAGUGGCAUUGCCGGGUAGCUAUGUUCGGGAAAGAUAACCGCUGAAAGCAUCUAAGCGGGAAACUUGCCUCAAGAUGAGAUCUCACUGGGACCUUGAGUCCCCUGA
rnacentral:rRNA from 1 species